rnacentral:misc_RNA from 1 species
GAUGAAGAACGCAGCGAAAUGCGAUAAGUAAUGUGAAUUGCAGAAUUCAGUGAAUCAUCGAAUCUUUGAACGCACAUUGCGCCCCUUGGUAUUCCAUGGGGCAUGCCUGUUCGAGCGUCAUUUGUACCUUCAAGCUUUGCUUGGUGUUGGGUGUUUGUCUCGCCUUUGCGUGUAGACUCGCCUUAAAAUAAUUGGCAGCCGGCGUAUUGAUUUCGGAGCGCAGUACAUCUCGCGCUUUGCACUCAUAACGAGAGCGUCCAAAAGUAUAUUUUACACUCUUGACCUCGGAUCAGGUAGGGAUACCCGCUGAACUUAAGCAUAUCAAUAAGCGGAGGA